rnacentral:rRNA from 1 species
AUUGAACGCUGGCGGCAUGCCUUACACAUGCAAGUCGAACGGUAACGGGCCUUCGGGUGCCGACGAGUGGCGAACGGGUGAGUAAUGUAUCGGAACGUACCUUUCAGUGGGGGAUAACGUAGCGAAAGUUACGCUAAUACCGCAUAUUCUGUGAGCAGGAAAGCAGGGGAUCGCAAGACCUUGCGCUGAUUGAGCGGCCGAUAUCAGAUUAGCUAGUUGGUGAGGUAAAGGCUCACCAAGGCGAGGAUCUGUAGCGGGUCUGAGAGGAUGAUCCGCCAAACUGGAACUAAGACACGGUCCAGACUCCUACGGGAGGCAGCAGUGGGGAAUUUUGGACAAUGGGGGCAACUCUGAGCCAGCCAUGCCGCGUGAUUGAAGAAUGCCUUCGGGUUGUAAAGCUCUUUCGGCCGGGAAGAAAUCGUAUGGGUUAAUACCCUGUGCGGAUGACGGUACCGGCAUAAGAAGCACCGGCUAACUACGUGCCAGCCGCCGCAGUAAAAC